UGGCUCAGUUAGUAGAGCAUGGUGUUUGCAAUGCCAGGGUUGUGGGUUCAAUUCCCAC
rfam:Salmo salar isolate Sally breed double haploid chromosome ssa23, whole genome shotgun sequence.